ACCAGGAAACAUAGAGCGCAGGCGUCGACAAGCUUAAUAUUCAAAUAAGACAUGUGAAAUGUCUUCACAAACAUUAUUUUAAAAGAUCUUUGUUGUCGACGUAUGCGCUCUAUGUUUCCUGUCAAAUAAUCUUUGGAAAUUUACCCAUUUUUCAUUGAUUUUUUCGUGAAAAAUCAAUAUGAGUACAACUUGUGACGUCAUAAUGAAACGCAGAAACGUAAAAUUUUAAACAAAAUGGCUUAUAUCCUAUCUAGUAAAUGUAUUAGCUAUAAUUUAUCGUGAUAUUGGUCAAUAAAUCCGAAUUUGAAAUUUACGUUAAAAAAGUGGGCCAUUUUAGGACCUUAUCGAACAUACUCCUUUUCAUCACUUGUAGAUUUUAACAUGAAAGACUAUUGGUUUCAGUAUCAAAUAAUUAUGCAAAUUUCAUGAGCAGACAAGUACAAGGUUGUAUAUGUUGUAUAUGAAUGCAAAUGUAUAUGAAUGCAAAUUAAAAAAUCCAUUUCCUAUAUACAUAGACCAUGGUUUAUAAUCUUUCCAAGAUAAACAAUGCAUAGCAGUGGUCUCGCUAGCCCAUAAUAGAAGGGCGCUGCGCCCUGGGUGCCCUCAAGCCGCGCCGCAGCGCCCUUGGUGCCUUCAUCCGCGCCCUUCGGCCCUGAAGUCUUUUUCCAAAAUUAUCUUGUGCCGUUUUGGUAAAAUUUUGUUUCAUCGAUUUCUGAUCUCCAAGUUAAUUAAUAUAUGACACCUGUGUGAUUGCCCCGGUUAAUCAUGUCAUACAAUCAAUUACAAUGAUAAAGACUUCAAAGGUGUUAAUAACUAGGUAAUUUAAUUAGGACAAUCAAGGACGUAUAACUAAUAUACGUCCUUGGGACAAUGUAUCUUUUUGUCAUACUUUUGAUAAAUGUGUCAGCGAGUGUGUUUAGCUUGGGUCGGCAUUUCGAUCUCCAAGUCACAAUGGAAGAGUGUAUAUAAAUGAAAGACUUUCAUGACUUUAGAAUUGAAUUUAAGUCAUCAAAAUAAAACUAUGCCUUUACAGAAAUACAGAAAUGCCUUCCAUCUCAACUUGUUAGCGACAAGCAAGUUUUU
rnacentral:lncRNA from 1 species